UACGGGGGGAGCAAGCGUUGUUCGGAUUUACUGGGCGUAAAGGCGCGUAGGCGGCGUGACAAGUCACUUGUGAAAUCUCCGGGCUUAACUCGGAACGGUCAAGUGAUACUGUCGUGCUAGAGUACAGAAGGGGGCAACUGGAAUUCUCGGUGUAGCGGUGAAAUGCGUAGAUAUCGAGAGGAACACCAGAGGUGAAGACGGGGUGCUGGGGCUGACACUGACGCUGAGGCGCGAAAGCCAGGGGGAGGCAAAACGGGG
rnacentral:rRNA from 1 species